ACUGACUUUCAGCACCAACUUGUGGUCCCAGGUAAGUUUCCACGCUGGUACUUUAGCCCUGGGCUCGAACCUGCGGACACGCUGUGGCUGCAACUCCCCGCCCGCCAGACCUCAGUACGCAGCGCGGCUGGUGAGAAACAUAAUGCACUCUGACUUCCACGCGUGGAAUGGGGAGAUGGACUGCACGGCGGGCGGACCUGCUCGGGCUGAUGGACGGCAGGUGGACUGAUGUGCGCAGGGACUGGCGGCAGCGCGGUCAGAGCCAGUCAGCCAAAGCCAGGCCAGCACAAUAGACUGUCCCGGUUCCCG
rnacentral:lncRNA from 1 species